rnacentral:piRNA from 1 species
GAACAAAUGGAAGCCUCUCGUGU